rnacentral:rRNA from 1 species
UGAGUACGAGCGGCUACGGCCGCGAAGUGGAUGAUGUCAAGCUUCCAAGAAAAGCCCUAUACCCGUUAAGGCAUGAUGGCCUGUACCCGAAACCGACACAGGUGGGGUGGUAGAGAAUACCGAGGGGCGCGAGGUAACUCUCUCUAUGGAACUCGGCAAAAUGGCCCCGUAACUUCGGGAGAAGGGGUGCCACCGCGAGGUGGUCGCAGUGAAGAGGCCCAGGCGACUGUUUACCAAAAACACAGGUCUCCGCUAAGUCGCAAGACGAUGUAUGGGGGCUGACGCCUGCCCAGUGCCGGAAGGUUAAGGAAGCUGGUCAGCGCAAGCGAAGCUGGCGACUGAAGCCCCGGUGAACGGCGGCCGUAACAAUAACGGUCCUAAGGUAGCGAAAUUCCUUGUCGGGUAAGUUCCGACCCGCACGAAAGGCGUAACGAUCUGGGCGCUGUCUCGGAGAGAGGCUCGGCGAAAUAGAAUUGUCUGUGAAGAUGCGGACUACGUGCACCCGGACAGAAAGACCCUAUGAAGCUUUACUGUAGCUUGGUAUUGUGCUCGGGCUCGGAAUGCGCAGGAUAGGUGGGAGGCUUUGAUCCAUUGCUUGCGGGUGAUGGUGAGCCACUGGUGAGAUACCACUCUUUCCGAGCUAGAGUUCUAACAGCAACCCGUUAUCCGGGUGCUGGACAGUAUCAGGUGGGCAGUUUGACUGGGGCGGUCGCCUCCUAAAAGGUAACGGAGGCGCGCAAAGGUCUGCUCAGGCUGGUUGGAAAUCAGCCGACGAGUGUAAAAGCAGAAGCAGGCUUGACUGUGAGACCUACAAGUCGAACAGGGAGGAAACUCGGCUUUAGUGAUCCGACGGUUCUGCGUGGAAGGGCCGUCGCUCAACGGAUAAAAGUUACUCUAGGAUAACAGGCUGAUCUCCCCCAAGAGUUCACAUCGACGGGGAGGUUUGGCACCUCGAUGUCGGCUCAUCGCAACCUGGGGCUGAAGUCGGUCCCAAGGGUUGGGCUGUUCGCCCAUUAAAGCGGUACGCGAGCUGGGUUCAGAACGUCGUGAGACAGUUCGGUCCAUAUCCGGUGCACGCGCAGGAAUAUUGAGAGGAUUUCUCCCUAGUACGAGAGGACCGGGAGGAACGCACCUCUGGUGUGCCAGUUAUCGUGCCAACGGUAAACGCUGGGUAGCCAUGUGCGGAGUGGAUAACCGCUGAAAGCAUCUAAGUGGGAAGCCCACCUCAAGAUGAGUAUUCCCAUGGCAUAAGCCAGUAAGGUCACGGGAAGAACACCCGUUGAUAGGCUCUACGUGGAAGCGCAGUAAUGUGUGAAGCGGAGGAGUACUAAUAGACCGAGGGCUUGACC